rnacentral:lncRNA from 1 species
GGUUAUGGGGGAUUUGUGGGGUUAUGGGGGGUCUGUGGGGUUUUGUGGGGUUAUGGGGAAUUUGUGGGGUUUUGUGGGGUUAUGGGAUGGUGCCGGUGCCGGCGUUGUACAGCCCCACAUCACCCCAUAACCCCACAUCACCCCAUAACCCUACAAACCCUCCAAACCCUACAAAACCCCACAGACGUGUUGGUGCCGCUGCCGCCGUCCUACAGCCCCACAUCACCCCAUAACCCCACAUCACCCCAUAACCCCACAUCACCCCAUAACCCUACAAACCCUACAAAACCCCACAGACGUGUCGGUGCCGCUGCCGCCGUCCUACAGCCCGCGCUACGUGGAGGCGGCCUGGUACAGCUGGUGGGAGAAGGAGGGAUUCUUCAAACCCGAGUAUGGGGUGAGCCGCCCUACAACGGCCCCACAACGGCCCCAUAACAGCCCCACAACGGCCCUAGAGCUGCCCCACAACGGCCCUAGAGCUGCCCUACAACGGCCCUAUAGCUGCCCUACAGCAGCCCUACAGUGGCCCUAGAGCUGCCCUACAACGGCCCUAUAGCUGCCCUACAACCCCCCUAGAACCGCCCUACAACGGCCCUAUAGCUGCCCUACAACGGCCCUACAACGGCCCCAAACAGCCCCACAACGGCCCUACAACGGCCCUAGAGCUGCCCUACAACGGCUCUACAGUGGCCCUAUAACUGCCCUACAGCGGCCCUACAGUGGCCCUAUACCUGCCCUACAACGGCCCUACAAUGGCCCUAUAGCUGCCCUACAACGGCCCUACAACGGCCCUAUAGCUGCCCUACAACGGCCCUAUAGCUGCCCUAUAGCUGCCCUACAAUGGCCCUAUAGCUGCCCUACAACGGCCCUAUAGCUGCCCUACAAUGGCCCCACAACGGCCCCACAAUGGCCCUAGAGCUGCCCUACAACCCCCCUAGAACCCCCCUGCAACGGCCCUAUAGCUGCCCUACAACGGUCCUAUAGCUGCCCUACAACCCCCUACAACGGCCCUACAACGGCCCUAUAGCUGCCCUACAACCCUUCUAGAACCGCCCUACAACGGCCCUAUAGCUGCCCUGCAACAGCCCUAUGGCUGCCCUACAACCCCCUAGAAUGGCCCUACAACGGCCCUAUAGCUGCCCUACAACGGCCCCACAACAGCCCUAUAGCUGCCCUACAACGGCCCCACAACAGCCCUAUAGCUGUCCUACAACGGCCCUACAACUCCCCUAGAACCCUCCUACAACGGCCCUAUAGCUGCCCUACAACGACCCCAUAGGCACCCCACCUCACCCCAUAGG